rnacentral:lncRNA from 1 species
CACAAGUUUAACAUUCGUUUGGAAUUGGAGGAAGAUUGCGGUACGUGCGGUGAAAAAGUACGAUAACAAAAUAUUCUAUUUAGAUCUGUAUGUAAUAUUGCGUUCUAUAUAUCAUGAUUAAUCGAUUAUGAUAUAUUUUUAACGGCUCCAUCGAAAAACACAAAAAUAUAUUUCUAUUUAUUUUUACUCUAAUUCUAGUUUAUCUAAUAGCGUUAGAUACACUUCAAUACCAAAAUAAACCUGGAUGUAAAAGUGCAGUAAAAAAUACGAUGCGGUGUGUGAUGCUGUGUGGAGCAUGCACCCGGUGCAUGCAAACUUUUCAAUUCGUGCAUUAGGAGUGGGUAGGUGGUUGCACCGGUGGACCGGGUUCACCAAAAGACAGGAGUCCACGUGCAGGGAAUUUGAAAUUUGAACGUACGACCACCAAGCUGUAAAAAAAGAUGAUAAUAAUAAUAAUAAUAAUAAAAAUAAUAACCCAAAAACGAGCCCGCAUGGUUUUCUCCUCUGUUGACUUUCUCAGGUCAAAGAACGGCCCCUUGACCGUUCACAACCCCC